AGAGUUUGAUCCUGGCUCAGAUUGAACGCUGGCGGCAUGCUUUACACAUGCAAGUCGAACGGCAGCACGGGGGCAACCCUGGUGGCGAGUGGCGAACGGGUGAGUAAUAUAUCGGAACGUACCCGGAUAUGGGGGAUAACGUAGCGAAAGUUACGCUAAUACCGCAUAUGCCCUAAGGGGGAAAGCGGGGGAUUCGCAAGAACCUCGCGUUUUCGGAGCGGCCGAUAUCGGAUUAACUAGUAGGUGAGGUAAAGGCUCACCUAGGCGACGAUCCGUAGCUGGUCUGAGAGGACGACCAGCCACACUGGAACUGAGACACGGUCCAGACUCCUACGGGAGGCAGCAGUGGGGAAUUUUGGACAAUGGGCGCAAGCCUGAUCCAGCCAUGCCGCGUGAGUGAAGAAGGCCUUCGGGUUGUAAAGCUCUUUCAGCCGGAAAGAAAACGCACGGGUUAAUAACCUGUGUGGAUGACGGUACCGGAAGAAGAAGCACCGGCUAACUACGUGCCAGCAGCCGCGGUAAUACGUAGGGUGCGAGCGUUAAUCGGAAUUACUGGGCGUAAAGCGUGCGCAGGCGGUUUUGUAAGACAGAUGUGAAAUCCCCGGGCUUAACCUGGGAACUGCAUUUGUAACUGCAAGGCUAGAGUACGGCAGAGGGGGGUAGAAUUCCACGUGUAGCAGUGAAAUGCGUAGAUAUGUGGAAGGAAUACCGAUGGCGAAGGCAGCCCCCUGGGUCGAUACUGAC
rnacentral:rRNA from 1 species